UGGGGAAUUUUGGACAAUGGGGGAAACCCUGAUCCAGCCAUCCCGCGUGUGCGAUGAAGGCCUUCGGGUUGUAAAGCACUUUUGGCAGGAAANAAACGUCGCGGGUUAAUACCCCGCGAAACUGACGGUACCUGCAGAAUAAGCACCGGCUAACUACGUGCCAGCAGCCGCGGUAAUACGUAGGGUGCAAGCGUUAAUCGGAAUUACUGGGCGUAAAGCGUGCGCAGGCGGUUCGGAAAGAAAGAUGUGAAAUCCCAGAGCUUAACUUUGGAACUGCAUUUUUAACUACCGGGCUAGAGUGUGUCAGAGGGAGGUGGAAUUCCGCGUGUAGCAGUGAAAUGCNUAGAUAUGCGGAGGAACACCGAUGGGCGAAAGGCAGCCUCCUGGGAUAACACUGACGCUCAUGCACGAAAGCGUGGGGAGCAAACAGGAUUAGAUA
rnacentral:rRNA from 1 species